rnacentral:rRNA from 1 species
CAUCAACUGGAGGACCGAACCCACUAACGUUGCAAAGUUAGGGGAUGACCUGUGGCUGGGGGUGAAAGGCCAAUCAAACUCGGAGAUAGCUGGUUCUCCCCGAAAGCUAUUUAGGUAGCGCCUCGGACGAAUACUACUGGGGGUAGAGCACUGUUUGGGCUAGGGGGUCAUCCCGACUUACCAACCCCAUGCAAACUCCGAAUACCAGUAAGUACUAUCCGGGAGACACACGGCGGGUGCUAACGUCCGUCGUGAAGAGGGAAACAACCCAGACCGCCGGCUAAGGUCCCAAAGUUCUGGUUAAGUGGGAAACGAUGUGGGAAGGCUCAGACAGCUAGGAUGUUGGCUUAGAAGCAGCCAUCAUUUAAAGAAAGCGUAAUAGCUCACUAGUCGAGUCGGCCUGCGCGGAAGAUGUAACGGGGCUCAAACCAGGCACCGAAGCCGCGGAUUUGCACUUAGUGCAAGUGGUAGGGGAGCGUUCUGUAAGUCUGCGAAGGUGUAUCGAGAGGUAUGCUGGAGAUAUCAGAAGUGCGAAUGCUGACGUAAGUAACGAUAAAGGGGGUGAAAAGCCUCCUCGCCGGAAGACCAAGGGUUCCUGUCCAACGUUAAUCGGGGCAGGGUGAGUCGACCCCUAAGGUGAGGCCGAAAGGCGUAAUCGAUGGGAAGCAGGUUAAUAUUCCUGCACGACUUGUAAUUGCGAUGGGGGGACGGAGAAGGCUAGGUGGGCCAGGCGACGGUUGUCCUGGUGAAAGUGCGUAGGCGGUACCUUUAGGUAAAUCCGGAGGUGCAACGCUGAGACACGAGACGAACACACUACGGUGUGGAAGCCAUUGAUGCCCUGCUUCCAGGAAAAGCCUCUAAGCUUCAGAUUACAAGUCAUCGUACCCCAAACCGACACAGGUGGUCGGGUAGAGAAUACCAAGGCGCUUGAGAGAACUCGGGUGAAGGAACUAGGCAAAAUAGUACCGUAACUUCGGGAGAAGGUACGCUCUUGUUGGUGAAGUCCCUUGCGGAUGGAGCUGACGGGAGUCGCAGUGACCAGAUGGCUGGGACUGUUUAUCAAAAACACAGCACUCUGCAAACACGAAAGUGGACGUAUAGGGUGUGACACCUGCCCGGUGCCGGAAGGUUAAUUGAUGGGGUUAGCGCAAGCGAAGCUCUUGAUCGAAGCCCCGGUAAACGGCGGCCGUAACUAUAACGGUCCUAAGGUAGCGAAAUUCCUUGUCGGGUAAGUUCCGACCUGCACGAAUGGUGUAACCAUGGCCAUGCUGUCUCCACCCGAGACUCAGUGAAAUCGAAUUCGCCGUGAAGAUGCGGUGUACCCGCGGCUAGACGGAAAGACCCCGUGAACCUUUACUACAGCUUGGCACUGAACAUUGAACCUACAUGUGUAGGAUA